AUUGAACGCUGGCGGCAGGCCUAACACAUGCAAGUCGAACGAGUGGCGGACGGGUGAGUAAGGUCUGGGAAACUGGCUGACGGAGGGGGCUAACUACUGGAAACGGUAGCUAAUAGCGCAUAACAUAGGAUGUGCCCAGAUGGGAUUAGCUAGUCGGUGGGGUAAAGGCUGACCAAGGCGACGAUCCCUAGCUGGGCUGAGAGGAUGACCGGCCACACUGGGACUGAUACACGGCCCAGACUCCUACGGGAGGCAGCAGUGGGGAAUAUUCGGCAAUGGGCGCAAGCCUGAUCGAGCCAUGCCGCGUGUGUGAAGAAGGUCUUCGGGUCGUAAAGUUCUUUUGUCAGAGAGGCGUUACCUAACGAGAAAGCACCGGCUAACUCCGUGCCAGCAGCCGCGGUAAUUC
rnacentral:rRNA from 1 species